UAAGAGGGAACCCGGUGGAAAUCCGGGACUGCCCCGCAGCGGUGAGCGGGAACGACCGCCGUCAUACGCACUGGACCCGACGGGUCCGGGAAGCGACGGCCAGUAGGUGUCCGCCGGAAGAGUCCGGCAGACGUGCCCGCGAGUCCGAAGACCU
rnacentral:ncRNA from 1 species